rnacentral:rRNA from 1 species
GACGAACGCUGGCGGCGUGCUUAACACAUGCAAGUCGAACGGAAAGGCCCUGCUUUUGUGGGGUGCUCGAGUGGCGAACGGGUGAGUAACACGUGAGUAACCUGCCCUUGACUUUGGGAUAACUUCAGGAAACUGGGGCUAAUACCGGAUAGGAGCUCCUGCUGCAUGGUGGGGGUUGGAAAGUUUCGGCGGUUGGGGAUGGACUCGCGGCUUAUCAGCUUGUUGGUGGGGUAGUGGCUUACCAAGGCUUUGACGGGUAGCCGGCCUGAGAGGGUGACCGGCCACAUUGGGACUGAGAUACGGCGCAGACGCCUACGGGAGGCAGCAGUGGGGAAUAUUGCACAAUGGGCGGAAGCCUGAUGCAGCAACGCCGCGUGCGGGAUGACGGCCUUCGGGUUGUAAACCGCUUUCGCCUGGGACGAAGCGUGAGUGACGGUAAUGGGUAAAGAAGCACCGGCUAACGACG